CUUAGACAACUUGUUUAUGAUUUGAGCUCGUGCAUGGUAUCCGAACUUAUUUUACAGUUACACAUCUUGCAAGAUACUUUAAUAAAUUCUGGCAUUACAGAUAGCAGUCUCACAUGAACAUUAAAUCAAAAUAUUGGUAUAAGUGCACUUUUUUUUUUUUUUUUUAAUAUUACCAAAGAUUGCUGCAGUACACCAGUACCUUUACCCAUUCUUCUUUUUUGUGCAAAUUGUAUCGACUUGGGUUUCCUUGCACACGAGAGUACCACUGGCACAGAAUGAGUCGAUGUUUGUUUUUGCUUUGCAAUCUAUAGUGUUUGUAAAGCGGACCAUAUAAUAUGCUUUGUUAUUAUGUACUCUGUUAUUAUAGCAGAUAAUUUUUUUCCGUAGCGGAGUAUUAAAUUUCUUAAUCUUUAGUAUUUGCAUUUUUUAUUCUUUCACAGAUACGAUAUAUGUUAGAGUGUACGAAACUAGGAUGGAUCUUUUGAGGGCUAUCAUUAUAGGGCCUGCAGGCACUCCUUACCACGAUGGGCUUUUCGUCUUUGAUGUUCUAUUCCCCCCUAACUACCCAGACGUUCCACCAGUAUGUACUAUUUACUGUGUAUAUAUAUAACAUUUUGACAUUUAUAUAUUUGCUUCCAAUUUGUAAACGUUUUGUCUUGACAUCUUUAGAUGGUAUACUACUAUUCUGGUGGCCUUCGAUUGAAUCCAAACUUGUAUGAUUGUGGAAAAGUCUGCCUUAGUCUUUUAAACACGUGGACUGGUGAAGGGAAUGAGAAAUGGAUGCCAAAGACAUCUACAAUGCUGCAGGUCUUGGUGUCUAUACAAGCUUUAAUAUUGAACGAGGAGCCCUUUUUUAAUGAACCUGGGUACGAUGGUAUGUAUACUGGAGAGGAAGGAAGGAGGAGAUCCAAGGAAUACAGUGAAAGUGCCUUCAUUAUGUCACUGAAAACAAUGAUGUAUACGCUUAGGAGGCCCCCAAAGGUAAUCUGUACUUUUUCUUUCGCCAUUUUCUGUUACCGUUAUAUAUGGAUGUGUUUCUUCAUGAACAGGAUACAGAUACAAUGUUAUUAAUUAUUCAGCCAUUGGUCCUAUUUUCUUAAUUGCAGCUCAAUAUUAAUUAUGUAGUGAAAUACAAGUUAUGAUUACUUUGACGGGCCUGUGGUUAACAAAAAUUGAAAUUUCGUCUUCUUAUGUUACUGUUUGGUUGAGGGGUUCACUUGAAAACUCUUUUCCAUUAUUUGUGCAACUCAUUCCCCAUAUACCCCAUGGGAUUCUAAAUCACAUGAUCCCAUUUCUCAUGAAGAAAACAAGAUUUCGGAUCAGCCAAUUUGUGAACACCUGUUGCUAAGUUUUAUAACUGCAAUGCAGCAUUUCGAGGACUUUGUUGCUGGCCAUUUCCGCACCAAUGCACGGCGCAUCUUAUUGGCCUGUAAAGCUUACACGGAAGGAGCAGCGAUAGGAUCACUUGGGAACAAUGUCCAGGUGGAAAGCUCACAAAGUUUCAAGGAGGCUGUAGCCAAAAUGAUGAAUAGCCUGGUUUCGAUCUUCGCAAGAAAUGGAUCUAAGGAUUGUGAGGAGUUCCGGCAUUCAGGCUGAUAAUUAUUUUGCUUGGAACUUGGUAUCAUGUUGACACUAAUGCCUUCAAUAUCUUUAGGACGUUAAAAACAUUUUACCGGCUUAUUUAAGGUUUUACUGCACAGUGCAUAGUAGCAUUUUGUGCAGAGGAAAGGGUAAAUAGCAUGGUUAAAAACGAUUGGUUGUAGAUCUUUGCAUUACAUCUCUAAUUGGAAGGGAUUAGACAUUUGCAUCAUGGAAGCCCCCCUUUUAUCAUCAAUAAUAUCUUGUAUAUAUGAUUCGGAAACUGUAUGUUUGUGCCUUACUUUUUGCAAAUAUUUUUCUUUUUGAAUCCAAAAAUGUAUCCAUAGGUGCAGGUCUGGGGGUAUAAAUUUUUUUUUUUCUUUUCCCAAAACUGUUUUCAAAAGAUUAGGCAACUUGCUUUUAUAGCUUUUCCUUUUUUUUUGUGUGUAGGAAGGUAUAGAAGUCUGGAAUUAUUGAUAUCCAACAUAGAAAAUGUUUGGGGGGUAUAGCACUUUCUUCCUAAAUUAUUUGACCCGUGUAAACCCCAGAAAGCCUAACAUUCAGGAACGAGGGGAUUACAAGUAGCUAAUCAAAGUUGCUGAUACAGCAAGAGUAUUCAUUAAGGUUAUGAACAAGGCAUGUCAAAUUGCAGCUCCUGACAUUUGCUAAUCGUAAAAUAAAAUAUAAAACUAUAUUACAGAUACAUAUGGUGGUGAUCAAGUUCAUUAUUCAAUAGAAUCAAUACAAGCUAUAAUAAACCACAAAAAUUCUACCAAGCCAACGACUCUGAACACUAACUAUACAUUAUUCAAUAGAAUCAAUACAAGCUAUAAUAAACCACAAAAAUUCUACCAAGCCAACGACUCUGAACACUAACUAUACUCUGUGAUCACAGAUAUGAAUUCAAAACUUGUAGUAUGCGUCUACGGCAACGCAAUUCAAACACCGUAAUACUGUGCCUGCGCGUGUUGAUCCAGCUCCGGGCUCAACAUAUGACGAAGGAGAAUGUCGACCUUACGGGUUGGUGUUUUCAUUUUGGCAUAUCGUCUUCUUGACUCCUUCCUUACACUUACCUCGUCCCUGUCAUCCUUACUUACACUUACCUCGUCCCUGUCAUCCUUAUCCGCCUCUUCUAACUCCAUACGAGCAAAGAAUGCAUCCAACACGAAGGCGACUACCAAAUCCAGAAGCAGCAGAACGGUUACUAGAUAGAAGCUCACAAAGUACGCGUAAGACCAGGCAGAGUCUGUCAGCUGUUUAUAGCUCUGCAUCCAUGCUUGCCAGUUUACAGUCACUAGGAGAUUAAACAGUGUCACCAUUCCACUCGGGUAGUCAUUGAAAUUGAAAACCAGAUAGUCAUUAUCUGCAAGAGGCGUCUCUGCCAAACGCGCGUUUCCAGAAUUGACAAGCCCGCCAAAGAUCUGCACCCCUAAAGAGCAGUACAUGCAUAGCACACAGAAGAUGGUUCCCAGGUAAGGCAUUAAACUCGGGAUCAGAUUGAGGAAUGUGGCAACAAAGGCUCGGUAACGAGGAACAAAAAGCAAGAGCCUUAUGAGUCGCAGCAUCCUGGCAAUGAGGAGAUAGCGAAUCCAUUGUCCAUUUGAGAGAAAUAGCAGUCUUUCUGGAGAAACAAAAGUUGCUGUUUCGAAGAUCACUAUGAGCAUUGUGAUGAUGAAGUCGAAACGAUUCUGACCAGCCCUCCAGUAGUUUUCAAACCCUAAAGAGUAGACUUUUAGCAGCAUUUCUAGGAAAUACAACCACCCGAACACAAACUCAACUUGUUCCCAGAAUUUCUGCCCAGAUUUGUCUUGAAUGUCAAGAGUUGUUUCGACAACAACAGUAACAACGUUCAGUAUCAGGAUAAAGAUGACUACAUAUCGGAAUCUAGGACCCCGGACAAAGGCUUUCAGCUUCUGAGACAAGGGUGCGCGAUAAAAUUGGAAUUUCUCUAACCAAGGCACGGAAUCCCCCUUCUGAAAUAUUACUGCUAUGGCAUGACAAAUAUCGGUGAAUUCUACCAAACUAAUCUUAGAGUCAUUGGUAUUAUCCAAUUCACGGAAUAUGAGCCCAUAAUCUUCUUCUGGGAUAUUCGGCAAUGUACUGUAUCUGCUCAGUUCCUUGAACAAAUGACUACAUUGUUCUUUGUCCAAAUAUCCAAAAUCAUUUUCAUCUAUGAGAUUAAAGGCUUUUUUCAGAAUCGCAUUCGUUUUAAGAUCCCUUGCAACAACUUGUUUGGCUAGCUGACCCUUAAAGCUCGUGUACACAACAGCAAGGAUCAAGUUGGUGACGAAGUAAACAGCCACGAGCAUGUAGAGAAUGAAGAACAGGGAAUACCAGCGCGAUUCUUUGUACGCGGGAAUCCAGACAUCUGGAUUGUUGGCUGUGGUAAACAGGAUGAACAUAUGAUAUGUUGUUGCACCAUACGAGGUGAAUACUUGUCUUCCUUGUUCCGUGUUCUCAAAGACGACAUAGGCUAACCAACUCGAGAAGAGCAGAAACAGAAGUCCUAAAAGCUGCAAUUGGCAUACAUAAGACAGAUAGCAUCAGUGUUUAUACAAAGAUGGAUAAAACACAUUAAGAUAGAUGUGUAGUGGAGACGUACCACGACGUUAAAGAAUGUGGCGAUCAUUCCUGCAAGGACAAGUAAGGUCUUUCGCAGAACCCUGGAGUAGAUAUUAAGAAACGAUGAGCAAUCUAUCUCUACUUAAAAAAAAAUGUUGUGUAAGUGACUUAUACCUGAUGUUUAAUAUGAAAAAAACAACCCGGAUAUAAGGAGCUAUUCGGAAUGGAAGAGAAUUCAAUGCCACCGGAGACAGAUAAAGCCCAUAAAUGAAUAUAUCAAUGACCAAGAUUAGCAGGAAGAUGAUCUGAGAAAUGCGCAGAAAGGUACAAUCAGUAGCAGACAGAAAACUUUAAAAGAAACCAGUACAAGGCAUAAGUGGCCUGAACAAGAUUUCGUAGAGGUCACAAAAGUCAAGUCCAAAACUUCAUUGCCUAAACAAUACAAUAAGUCUUAAUUCUAAGAAGAUGUGACUGAAUAACAUCUGCUCAGACUCGGGUCUGGACCUCCGGACACUGACACAUGUUCAAGAUUGGACUUAAAAAAUUAUCUUCACUUGCAACUCAAAUAAUAAUAGACAAGUAUAUUGGAGGGAAGAAUAAUCUCGAAAAAUCCAUAAUACUAGGAUAAUCAAGAAACAGAACACAGACUUCAGGUGUUUGGAAAACCAUAAAUUGCAGGGGUUGUGAUAGUAGAGUACUUGCCUUUGCUUUAUGAAGAUUAUUCUUCCAGUAGAGAUUAAACCCUUCAUAUGAAACCGGAAAGAUCACAUGAGCUGUGAGAAUAACCAGAGUAAUUCCCUGCAUAAAAAAGCGGAACUCAUGCAUUAUAACAGAAGAUUAAGAAACCAAACUUGUGAAUACAUGAAAUUUAAAAGGUCUGCAAGUGUUGUCCCUGGUGACUUUAUAAAAACAUAAAUCAUUACCAAAUGAAUCGCCUCUGAUAUACUAUACAGGUACUCGGGAUGAUGAAGAUACCUUAAAAUUUAUAUGGCAAGUUUACCUCGUAUAUAAGAGAUGCGGCCUCAUUUAAGUGAGGCAGCUGUCCCAGAAAGUAGUAAUCCCUGUUAUGGCAUGAAACUGCUAAAUCCUGGCCGCACCACAAUGGUUUCUGUGAAUCAAAGUUCAGAUAAACAGCAUAUAACUAUGCCAACUCGAUGAAAAUAUACUGACAAUGAAUAAAUGAAGCUUAUGACUUGAACUCCACUGGCAUAUAUAGCCCAAACACUAUAGAGGUGUGUAAGAUCUUGACAAACCUCCAGGAAGUUGAGAUACAACAAAGCAAAACUGUUGAGGAACCAUAUCCAAUUAAAAUGAAUAAAGAAAAAGUAAUAUUUCACUGCAUCUGCAAAGGUUAAAUGAUCAUCAAGAAUCUCUUCUGGUAUUCCCAUGCCACCUUCAGCCUGAAAAGAACAUGUAACAUAUUAGAAAUUUUCGAUAGUGAUUCCAGUAUCACUUCUGGGAAACGACCAAUUAUAAGACACAAGACUUUAGUGUAUUUUUAUAUUAUGGCACCAAAAUUCAUGGUCUUGAAACAGAAAAUUAAGGUGCAUUCAGAAAACUAGUUUUAUCAGUCAUCCCAGGAGUGAUAUACUUUCUAUUUCUUCUGCUUCGUUAGAAUAUAAUAUGAUCCUGGCACCAAAAAUUUUUUGGGCUUUCGACUGAGGGGGAAUGUUAAAAUAUAAUCUGAUCCUCGUAAGCCCUCCUCCCAACGUCUCGAGGUUUUGGGAGAAUUGGUCACUUAACAUGCUUUACUAUAUCUUAGAGGUUAUUGAGCUAAAAACAAAGUUAGUAUCUUACGAGAUCAAUGAGUGCAGCAGCUUUCUGAUAAAGAGUACCAUGAGCAAUGGCAUCGGAUCUCCGACCAAUGGCGGGUGACGAUAGCAGUGGCCUCUCCAUCUUCUUCUCAGCUCGCUCUGUCUCUGUUAUUACAAGCUGUAAUAUACAACUACAAUGACCAUAUAUAUAUAGAUGCUACUUGGAGUAUAUAAAUGCAUGUAAAUUAUCAUAUUUAAUACAACUCACUCAAUGCAAUUAAACAAGUGAUUUUUGUUAGUUAGAGACUUGACUUUAUACGAAAUACCAAGAAACAAUACAUAACUAUACAGAGAAACACUGGAUCCAUGCAAUGGGAGUAUAAUUUAGGGAUGCAUGACGCGGUGAAGAAGGCGUCAUUUAGUAGGUGUCGAAGGUUGAAUACAGGGUAAACGUUCAAAGUAGAGGUUGUUAAAGUUACCUGCUGCAUAUUGUACUAUAAUAGUCAUCAGAGCACCAACUGCACGUACAAGUAAUAUAGACUCGCAGCCCGCAGGGGUGUAAUCCAGCCGAACCGAACAGUGCCGGGUUUGAGCUCGAGUCUUUAAUUUCAAGCUAGAAGCUCGGAUCGUAAAAAGUUCGAGUCGAAAACUCAAAUCGAUUUCACCAAAUAUUGAUAAAAACUCGAAAUAUGAUCUGUCCGGCUCAAUUAAAUAUAAAUAAAAUAUUAAAUAUUAAUAUAAAUAUAAAUAUAUGUUUACGAUUAUAAAAAUUAAAAUUAAUAGAGACUCGAUAAGGCUCGCGGAAUUUAUGAGCUUAGUAAUUUGAAGCUCGAACUUGGCUCGGUAAAGAAUUCGAAAAGCUUAAGCUCGGCUCGAUUGUUAUCGAGCCGAACUCGAGUAGUCCACGAACUGUUUGAGUGCCGAAUUCGAAUAUUUUACGAGCCGAACUCGAAUAACUCACGAACUGUUUGACUCAUUAACACCCCUUGAGACUCUGACCGAAACCGAAGCUUCUUGGAUUCUGAGGGAUAUUUCUCAAGAAAUUUGCAAAUAUUUAAGUUUAGCUCAAUUACAAUUCAGAAAAGAUACACAUUGACAAGAAGAUUCAUAAAAUUUCAUGGUCUGUAGUUCAUAUGCCAAAUCAGUUUGUAUAUGAAAAUUGAACACAAUCAUAAGCAUUGCAUACUUUGUUCUCCUAAUAUAGUGUAUGAUAUGAAGGAUGAACUAAGCAUUGGAGCACUCUGCAUGCUCCUUCAACUCUUCAUGCUCCUUCAACUCGGAGCUCAGCAUACGAUGGAGCAGCAUUUCAACUCUCUGACUUCGUGUUUUCGUGCCAGCAUAACGUCUUCUUGGCUCCCUUCCUUCGUUUUUCUUGCCCUUGUCAUCAUCCUUCCCUUUACCUUUCUUGUCCUCACCAUUAUCCUUUCCUUCACUUGUAUUGUUCUCGUUGUUAAGUUUCUCCUCGUCUUCUAGAUCCAUUUCAGCAAAGAAUGCCUCCAAGACAAAUGCUACUACCAAAUUCAGAAGUAGAAGAACAGUUACCAGAUAGAAGCUAACAAAGUAUAUGUAAGACCAUGCAGAAUAUGUCAGUUCUUUGUAGCUCUGCAUCCAUAUUUGCCAGUUUCCCAUCACUAACAAAUUAAAUAGUGUCACCAUACCACUUUGGUAGUCAUUAAAAUUGAAAAGUAGAUAGUCGCUAUCUGCAAGAUCCGUCUCGGCCAAACGAAGGUUGCCAGCAUUGACCAACCCGCCAAAGAGCUGCACCCCGAAAGAGCAAUACACGCAUAGAACACAGAAUAUAGUGCCUAGGUACGGCAUUAAACUUGGUAUCAGAGUGAGAAAUGUUGAAACAAAGGCUCGGUAACGACCAACAAAAAUUAAAAGCCUUAUUAGUCUUAACAUCCUUGCAAUAAGUAGGUAGCGAAUCCAUUCUCUAUUUAGGAGAAAUGGCAAAGACAGAAAAGUUGCUGUUUCGAUGAUAACUAUAACCAUAGUGAUCACGAAGUCAAAACGAUUUUGACCAUCCCUCCAAUAGUUUUCGAACCCAUGUGUGUAGAGUUUUAGCAGCAAUUCCAGAAAAUACAACCACCCAAAGACAACCUCAAGCUGUUCCCAGAACCUCUGCCCAGAGCUGUCUUGUAUGUCAAGAGUUGUUUCAAUAACAACAGUGAUAAUAUUCAGCAUCAAAACAAAUUUUACCACGUAUUCGAAGCUGGAGCUGACAACAAAGUUUCUCAACAUCUUGGAUAAGUCUGUGUGAUAGAAUCGGAAGCCGAAUAACCAAGGCCGACAAUUCUCCUUUUGAAACCUUACUGCUAUGGCAUUGCAAAUAUCAGUGAAUUCUUCAAAAGAUAUCUGGGAGUCACGUUUGGUAUCAUUACCACAUCCAUCAUCCAACUCGUCAAAUAUUAAUCCAAAAUCUUCUUCUGAGAUCUCCGGCAAUGUCCUGUAUCUGCUGAGUUCUUUCAACAAAAGACUGCACUGAUCUUUGUUUAAAUAGUUAAAAUCCUGGUCAACAAUGAAAUCAAAGGCCUUCUUGAGAAUUCUAUCCCUCAUACUAUCCUUUGCAACAAUUUGUUUGGCUAGCUGACCCUUAAAGCUAUCGUACACAACAGCCAGGACCAAGUUGGUGACGAAGUACACACCCAAGAGCACGUAAAGAAUGAAGAACAGGGAAUACCAACGUGAUGCUUUGUAUGCAGGAAUCCAGACAUCGGGAUUGUUGGAUGUUGUGAACAAGAUAAACAUGUGAUAUGUGGUUGCACCGAACGAGGUAAAUGUCAUUUUUCCUUGCGCUGUAUCCUCAAAUAUGACAUAUGCUAACCAACUUGAAAACAGCAAGAAAAGAAGUCCUAAAAGCUGCAAUUGGUUAAAUCACUCUUUUAAACUUUUUUAAAACAAAACAAUGCAACGAUACUGAUAUUUCUUUGAUUACAUUUAUGGUACCAUAACUAAUUAAUAUAAAGAUGUAGAAGUAAAGAGUAAAGACGUACCAAAACAUUAAGAUAUGUAAUAAUCAUUCCAGCAACAACAACUAAGGUGUCUCGUAGAUCCCUGUAGUGGAAAAUUAAAAAAAAAAUAUCAGAAAUCAUCAGUGGCAUGUUCAGAUUAAUAAGAAACAUCUUCCACUAUGUAUUUUCACAUAUUAAAAAUAUUGUACGAAAAUGAAAAAUUUAAAUUAGAGUAGUCUGUUUGUAGAAGUCAUGGCUACUAUCAGAUGGAUUUCUGGAGAAGACGUUGCAAAAGGUUGUAAAUCUCUGAAGAUGAACUGCUAAAUAUCAGUUAUGAAGUAUUGAUAAUUUCUACAUCUCUUAGGCAUAUCAUGGAAUCAUGAAAAAUCUCUAAUUAAUUCUAGAUUUAGGCACUUAUACCUGAUGUUCAAAAUGAAAAAGGCAACCCGUAUAUAAGGCGCUAUCCUGAAUGGGAGAUAAUAUAUUGCCACCGGAGAUAGAUAAAGCACAUAUAUGAAGAUAUCAGCGACCAGGAAUAGCAGGAAAAUGAUCUGAGAAAUCAAUAAAAAGGUACAACCAAUGUUAAGCAAGGAAGUUUUUUAAAGAUAAACUAGUACCACAUAUGAGUGGCCAGAGAAGAAUCAUGGAAAACUGGAAGUCACAAAAGUGAAGCUUGAAACUCCAUCGCCUACAAUAUAAUAAAUACUUAUUCUACUCGGACAUGCUUUACUUGAUGACUGAAUAACAGUGCAGUAUGUGAUAUUCACAAAUUUUGUACUCUAAAAGCAUGUUGAGACCAUGAGAAAGGAUCUAAGAUCUGAAACUCUUUCGUGCUAAAGUAGAUACUUUCAUUCAAUACUCAAAAAGUAUAAAUAAUUUGAAGUAGACUUCUUAACUUGCUGCAUAUAUAUGAACAAGCUUAUGUAUUGAGGAUAGAUCAUGGGUGAUUUAAUUUUGGUCAUCCUCUAUUCCAAGAAAGACUUUAAUCAACGCAGAAAGACUGUACCACAAGCUAACUACAAUAUGCAGUGAAUGGGUGUAAUCUUCAUAUUAAAAUUUGACAAAAUUUUGUAAAGUAUGUAGAAAUAUAAGAGAGUAGAUUUUUGAAAAUGAAGGUUGCACACUCAACACCAUAGUCCUCAUUAUCAGUGGACAACUAAAACUAAUUUGCACGGAUAAUAUCUAGAUCUUCCUAUUUGGCACCUUAUACUUUACCAACAUUGGCUCAUAUAUCACUAAAAUUUUAAAAUAUUUUUGUGACAGAUUGCAUUUUAACUUAAUUACCAAACACCAGAAUGAGUUGCUUGUAUAUUUUCAAGGCAACACCUGAAACGGAUAAAAGCAAGCCAAUUACUAUGUUUAUACUAAACCAGCUUUGUUAUGUCCGAUGAAGCCCAAUUAAGCCCUCCACGACCUACUCAUAAAUGUAAAUUGUGACUGAAUAUACAACAAACAAUUAUUUUCAAACAGAAACUACUUGUAUUUUUUCUAAAAAUAAAAAUUAAAUAUUAGCACAGUCAAGAAAUGCAAAGAGAUCCGGGGUUCAGAGAAGAUAUAGGCCGAUGCAGCUGAGUACUUACCUUUAGUUUAUUGAGAUUCCUUUUGAAGUAGAGAUUGAAUCCUUCGUAUGAAAUUGGAAAGAACAUAUGUACUAUGAGAAUAGCAAGAGUAAUUCCCUGGAUAGAUAUGCAGAAAUUCAUGCAUUAAAUUUCAAAUUCAAAUUGUUAUCACGUGAUAGGAGAAGAAAGGCAUGCAAUAGUCAUCUCAUACUAGUGAACUAGAGCAGAGGGCCUUUCCGACGAAUUUUGAAGUUAACAUGCCCAAAACAGCAAACUAUGGGAAAAAAAUAUAUCCAGCACUUAGAACAACAUACUUUACAUGUGUUAUCUGUUGAUAAAAUUAAUCAAAAUGUUGGUAAGGCUUCAUACUCUGCUAUAGAUCAGCUAUAAUUACUCAAGUACUAUAAUGCUGUGUGUAAGAGAGUGAGGUCACUAUGCAUGGGGGAGUUGUUGCUAUAAAGAAAUUGAAAAAAUUUCUUGGUAUAAACAAAUUUGGUUGCGUUUUUGCCCCCACGCGUUAUAAAAAAAUGUUCUAGUUAUAACUCAAAGAAUAGUUGUGUUCCUGUGCUUAUUUUGCAUAUGACUAGUCAGCUAUUACCCAUCUGACAAAUUCAUGUCGUGUACUGAAAUUCUAAUAACUUGCGUUCUGAUGUGCUAAAAGGGAUCAAUUAAUAAUAAUGUGUCAAAAAGGGCCAACACCACAAUUAUUUGCCCUUUUUAAAUGCUCAUACAGAUGUCCACAUUACACUAUUCUAAUUUAUCACAUUCCGAUAUAAGUCUUUUAUACAAACUUCUAAACGAUAGGGCAGCAUGUUAGCAUAAGAUAGCAACAAUAAACUUGACUGCCUUGGCAGCACAGUAGACCAGUUAUUACAUUCUGGAUUUCUGGUCUAUGUUACAUCUUGACCGAGUCGGAGCAAGAGUUAAAUUUGAAGCCCGAUUUGAACUAAUUGCGUACUUAUCUUGUUAUCUGCUUGUACGAAGACAAAUUCUGGUUUGUAAAGCUAUUAAUAACUACUUUGGUGAAAGUAGUUAUUAACUACUUUUAAUGCAUUUGAGGGUGUAUUCUUGAUUUCCUAUGAGCCACAAUUCCACAUAUGAGUGUUUUGGCAAAUUCAUAAAGAUCAUACCUCGUAUAUAAGAGAACCGGCCCCAUUUAAGUAAGGCAGCUGUCCAAGAAAGUAGUAAUCCCUAUCAUCGCAAGAUGUUUCUAAAUUCUGGCUGCACCACAAUGGUUUCUGCAAGAAUAUAAUUACGCCGACUUGAUGAAUAUAUAUUGGCAGUGAAUAAAUGAAGCAUGUAAAUAAUAAUAGCAAGUAUAGCACCAUAUAAGGAAAAAAAUUAACAGCACAAAAAAACUUGACCAACCUCCAAAAAGUUGAGCAAUAACAGCGCAAAAUAAUUUAAGGUCCAGAUGAGAUCAAACCGGAUGAAAAGAAAGUAAUAUUUCGUCGCAUCUGCAAAGUUUGAUUCAUCAUAAAGAAUCUCCUCUGGUAAUCCCAUGCCAUCUUCUGCCUGAAAAAGUGAAAAAGGGGGUGCAUGUACCAUAUUAUUGGAAUUUACAUAGUAGUCAAGUUAGUUUCACUUCUGGGAAAAAUGACCCGUCUAGCAUAGUUUAUUGCAAGUAUGCUUGUUACAGUGCGUCUGAUGCACAUACAUUAAUUGAUUCUCUAACAAUCACAAGAGAUACUACCUCCGUCCCUGAUUAGCCGAGAUUGUUGAUUUUGAGCACGUAAUUUAAAAUGUACUUUAUCUAGUAUGUCCAGGGUCAAUGUGCAGAAUCAACUUGAACUCCUAAAUUUUGUGAUUUGGGUCAUUUGACCAAAACUUAAUGCUCCCUCAUGAAAUUUUAGAUCUGAUAUGUUGCUGUAAUUCAUAAUUCCUGUUUAAUGAUUUUGGCUAAGAACUCAGUAGUAUCAUUCUAUCCAAAAUCGAAACCACAAUUUGCAUCAUAAAUCAAAACCACUCCAUCACAAUUCACAAACACAUAUACAAGACAAUUCAGUAAAGAGCCACCUUAGCUUGAAACCUCACGGAAGCCAUCGGUUCUAUUAUGCAAUAUUCUACAACAUACAUGAUACCAGAGAAAACAGGAGAAUAGUAAGUGAAGUGAAGUGAGAAGCAGAUACCAGAUCAAUGAGUGCAGCAGCUUUCUCAUAGGGAGAACCAUUCACAAUGGCAUCAGGUCCCCGCUUAAACGCAGACGACCGUUCCAGACUCCGUUUGCUAAGUAGUGAACGUCCAUCCAAGUUCUUCAUCUUCUUCUUGUGCUUAUUCUACUCUCUCUGUUUACACAACUAUCAUACCAUAUACAAUGCAGACUAGCAGGAGCAUAUCUGUAGCAUCUGGUGACUAAAUGUGCAUUAUAAUAACAUAUUGGAUCAAUGUUCAACAAAAUCCGGAUCCAAACCGCUUAAAAUAAUCAAAUGUUUCAUAUAUUAAUAACGUGUGAUCAACUGCAAAAGACUUGAUUGGUGCAAGCUGAGAAAGGUACAACUACAAGUGGCCAAAAAAAAUAAUAAAAAUGGUUUCAUAUUUAAUCUGUUUCCAUUAAAUUAGUAUUGUACUGUUAUCAGCUUCAUUACUUGGCAUUUAAUUAUUUGACACAGCAUAAACUAUUUGUUAAUGGUGUGCUCAUUCUGUAGAUUAGUUGGGGAUUGGGUUAAAUAGCUAAAUCAUCACCGGAAGAUACUACUAAAGUUUUCACUUGAAUCCCUGUCCCAAAAAAGUUUUCAGUCAAACACUUGAACGAGUAAAAUAUUUCAUAUGGGUUUCUGCCGUCAGUUCCGUUAACGGAAGUUGGAUGGGGUUGCUGACCUGGCAUUGCCCUCAUUCAUUUGUGCAUUCUCCAUUUCUCCUCUCCCAUUUGUUCAUUGUCAUCACACAGGUUCAACAUGCACAGCUUCUGGCGGUGAAUCAGCCGUGCUCCAUGAACGAAACACAUGGAUCCUGCAAAUUCCUGUCAAAGCAACACUUCUAACUAACUCAAUUACAUCACUAUCAUGCACCAACAAUCUGAAUCCUUCGUCCGGAGAAACAUCAACUGGAAAAUACAAUUUAUCCUCGUCACUAACUAAUGAUAAAUUGUAUUUUCUCCGGAUAAAUUGUAUUUUCCCUAAUUUAUGACUUCCCUAAUUUCACUCACAAUUUCCCUAAUUUGUCUAACGCUUAGCUUCUGCACUUCCGUUCUUUUAAACACCUUCGACUUUCGACCACUAUACCGGUACUUCGAGCUUCCACUCUUAAUCGAUCUUCACAAAUUUAUGAAACCCUAAGUUCGCCCCCAAUUUCUCUUUGCCAUCUCUAUCUCGAUGAACCGAUAUGAACUGCGUUCUUUCUGUUUUAGGUUCUGGGUUUAGUUGGAUCUAACGGGUCGGGUCAAUUAUUUGGGGCAUUGCCUACGUGACAGACAGCUGGCGAUGAUAUGGCAAGUCAAUCCGUCGAAGUCAAAGCUCACUUAACGGUCGUGAGAUUUUUCUAUUUUACGGUAUUAAGUGUGAUAAUUUUUAGUUUGAAUAUUGGUAGUGUUUAUAAGCCUGAUUUUUAUUUAAGUUUAUAAAUUGGAAACACUUAUUUCUAUGAUUGUGUAAAAAGUCGAGAAUUAAAAGAAGUUAAAAUUAUGAUUGUGUAAAAAAUUGAGAAUUAAAAGAAGUUAAAAGAAGUUAGGAUUAUCAUAUUUUGUUUCAAGAUUUCUAUUUAUUUUCUAAGUAAUUUAAUCAUUUAUAGAUCUUAAUUUGCUUCCGACUUGUAUUUUAUUUUUUUCUUAAAGAAAAAAUAUUUAUUUUUUAUGAGAUUGAAAACUUUUUUGGAAUUGUGAAUCAAGCGAAAACUUUAAUAUAUUAAAGUGAUGAUUUAGUUAUUUAAUCUGGGAUUGGAGAUUUGUUGAGGUGGUGGAUUGCGAUUAUUUUUAUUGCAGAGAGGUUAAAAUAUCGUAUCUUAUUUACUGAAAAGAAAAAUUGUCAUAAAAUAAAAUAUCAUUUACGUAACAGUGUAGAGAUAUUAUUUUGGUAUCUAAAUAUGCUGCGAUAUGAUUUUAUAUACACAAGCACCUUUCGAGUUUAAAAUUUAAUUUAAAAAUAUAUUUACCCAUACACUUAUCGGCUAUUUAUUUCGAUUUCUGUGCAGUGCUACAGAUUUGUUAGAAUUAAAACAAAUUCAAGAUUUCAAAAAGCAAAUUAGCUAAAGAGGAAAGAUUUCAAAAAAAUAAAUAAAUAAUAGUAAUAUUUAUACUAGAAGAUAGAGUGACCCGCACAUGACAGAGUCAGAGACAAGGAAACAGCAUUAGACUUGAAAUAUUAUAACAAUAAUCUCUUCUGACCAGAUCCAGCUUCUGUACUAAUGUAAAUUUUUAUAUAUAAAAAAACAACAAAAAUUGUUUUAAAAUAAUAAAAAAAAAGGAGGUACAUGAGAGAUGAUGAAGCUUCUGAAACAGCAUACUGAAUUUUCUAUAUUAAAAAGAAUAACAGGAUUAGAGGGAAAAUCUAAAUUUAAACAGUGGUCUCAUAUUACACCUCAGCUUUGCAAAUCCAAAAUAUGAUGAUUUCUUUAAUGUUGUUACCUCUGCUCUGUACAAAUCUCAAUCUCUACACAAUAAAAGAACAUAUGGUCAAACAGCCUCUCCACCUCAAUGCCAGAUUUCAGCCUGCACAAUCCACCAACAUUGAAAAUGUCAAUUUAUUAUAUAAAAUUAUAGGAAUGAAACGGUCAAUAUUUAUGCCGCGGCUUUGAUGAAUGUAAUGCAAUUGGAAAAAUUAAACUGGCCGGGUCUUGACAACACUUAGAUUUCAUAGUCAAACAGGAAAAAACCGUUGAUGCCAUUUGAAACCAAUUCAGAAUGAAAAUAGAUCAAAGUUCACAGUUCCUGAAUGGUUUAACCAAGGAAAACAAGUUAUCGCGAUUUCUAGAUGUUGUGAGAACAUACAGUGAUGAAAAGGUGAUUUAAAUGUGCCUAACACAUGGAUGCUAAAAAGGUGCAUUAUCGACAUCUAAGGACUUCUCUGAAACUGAAAUAUUUGGACCUGUGUUACUGGGAUUCGCUAGAAGUUCUCAACAUAGAUAUGUGUUCGAGUGAAGGAGUCUGGCAUUAACAUGAAAGAUAAGUGCGUGCAAAGAUUUUGCAGAUAUAGGAGCAGUUGAUUAACAACAAACAAAAUGUUCAAAGAAAGAGACACACAAUCAAUAAGAUUUCAGAUUUUAAUAGGAGGGGGGAAAAUAAGCUUAAACCUACUUCAUUAGCAACAACGUUAAAUAAUAAUAGGAUGUAUGGCCUAUUAAAUAAUGGAACACGUCAAAUGUAUCAGAGUGACCUAAAUUGACCUAGUUGUCCUAACAGAGCGCAGGACAAAAAGCUAAUCCCAAAAAACAUAUAAGAGCAACCGAGGAACAUUUGAAAUGGAUAUUAAAACUUCGUUAUUUCAAAAAGUUCAAAGACUGCGAAUAAUAGUUAUCAAAAGGAUAUCAAGUAAAUUUAUCACAGGUAUUUGUAGAACAGUAUAACAAAAACUGAGGAAAUUUCCAAGGGAAAAGAAAGCCAAGACUGACCUCAAAUCACAUAUCAGAAGAUUUUUUUCCUGUCACGAUCUUGGUUAUCUGCAAUCCCCUACUAAAUGCUUCAUUAAAUAAAAUCCUUGUUUGCAUAGACUGGAAUCCAGGCAACCAUGAUAGCACCGCCACAGGGGUCAUAACAAUCACUCCAAACAAUAUAUCAUACAAGCGAGCAACAGAAACAACAGUUUCCCAAAUCAUAGUAUUCUCCAAAAAGGGUCGCAACACUUGAGCUAUCGAAAUAAAACCCCAACCUGUGGGUAAAAAUGCCAACAGACUAGUGAAAAUAUCCACAAAUUUGAACUCGGUGAACUGGAGCAAGGCAAUGAUCACAAGCACAAAAAUGAUUAUAAGGAGAAACUGAACCAAUCGAUAAUAGAUAUGUUCUCUUGCAGCAUAUUUAUCCCGAGCAUAAGCUACAGUAGAGUAAACUGCAAGUGCCAUGCCCACAUAGAUCCACGAAAGCAAGUAAACAAAUAUGCUGUUGCUCCCAUCAGAAAUACCAAGUUGGUAUACAAUCCCAUACUGAAAAAAGAAAAACCGCAGGUCCAAAAUAAUUUCCAGAAAUUUUCCCCAAAGACCUGUUGUUCUCAAGUGAUCCUGCUCCUCAUACCACCAUCUUUCCCAGCCCUGAUCAGCUUUAGCAAACACACCACCGCGGAACCAUAUCCAGUUCAUGAAAUCAUCAAAGUCAUACACCGUUUUCAACCAAUCAAAACCAGAUGGAUUGAACAAGAAAGGGGCCAUCAUCCAUGAAAUCACUAGGAACCAACUUGAGAUGGUCAACGCAAUGUAAACAAAAGUUCCUUUAGCUACAGCACUGUAAGAGGCAUACACUACAAGUAUCAGCCCAAGCUCAAUAGCCUUUACAAAGUGGCUACGCGCAUAAAGUCUAUAGUUUUCAGCAAAGCUUUUGUGCUCCACCACGAAACCACGACCAGUUGCCCUGUACUUUGCACCACCAUGAAGAAUAGUUCGGCCAAAAUAGUGAGCCCGAGUUCCCAUGGAAAAUGUGAAAAAUACAGAUGACAGCUGAAGUUGCAUAGUUAUAAAAUCCCAAAUUGCUGAAAGAAAACCAUGCUCCAAAGAAUUUUCUACUAUCAUUGGCAACGCAGUGAACAGGCCAAGUUGGAGAAUGAACUGUUGGUUUAAUAUAGCACCAAGUGCUUUAUUGUCCGCAGCAUCAUCUGCUGCAUUAGAACUCUCAAUCCCACUUAAAGCAAGAUAAAGCCGACCCCACAGGAAUGCAUAAACAGUGAGGAUGAUCAUUGUUGUACUCAGGAAAAACCCUACAGUAGUGUAGAAAAAUGAUAGCAUUCUGAAAAAAUCCAGCCUAUGUCCCAACCUAUAGACCUCUCUGCUAAGAACCUGCUCCCCAUUUCCACUAGCAACUUUGGCUUCAAACAUCGCAAUUUGAUUCAGUCCAACAUCCCUCCCCUUGCCAACUUGCACGUAUUCAUGAUGAGUAACAUUCCCACCUCGCAAUGUGCAGCUGAAGCCUGCAAAUAUGUCCUCACUGAUAUUGAUCACCCUUGACGCUUUGCUUAUUCCUCCCCUAGUUAAGAACCAGAAUCUAUCAAAUACAUCCGGAUGACCAUAGUGCAUGCGUAUUUUAAGGGGGUUCGCCAAAACACGUUGUCCCAAUGUGACAAAACUAGUCUCCUGGGCUGACAUAAACCAAGCAAGCGAGGAGACAGAACCAGUAAAUAUGUGUUCCCGGACUCCCAAAAUAGUCGGCUUUCUCAAACCAUAAUAGUGCCUGUACUCCUCCAGAAGAUUUCGCAUUUUAAGUGCCUCCUCGAAAUAGCUGUCCUGGUUCAUAUCAAUGGUCUGAACUGCAUCUCCUCUAGUAAAGAUAAGAGCAUGGUUUUGAUUCUCUGGCUUUCCCUCCCCAAGCUUUAAUGGACCAGGUAACUUAACUCUAUAUAUCUCCACUUCCUUCUCCAACUGUUGGUCAUAUUUUACCAAAACAGAGUAAUAAUCCGGAUCAGGCCUCCCUGAGGGAACCACGUCGACAUAAGCAACCCGAAGAGCCUCGUUGUUUUUCAUCAGAUACAAUAUAUCUUCAGCAUGGGGGUCCUUCUUCGCCUUUUGGGUCCCAUAUAUCUGGCAGGCAACCACAUAGGUGUAUUUCAUCAGAGCAGUACCAUACUCAUGGCCUUUAAACAACAAGUUAACUGUACUGUCUGCCCUACUCAGGCUUCUUGCAGAUUGCGACCUUUCUGAGUUGAAACUAUCUAAGCUACGGCUACGCCCCAUCGAAGCAAGUUCCCGCGACCCUUCCCUGAUAUCCAUCUCUGAAGCAGAAUCCAGAAAAGCGAGCAUUUUGAGAGCACGAUAGUAAUACAUCAUUCCCCUCACAGUACGGGCCAGUGUCUGGCCUCGGUAUGACGCCCAAAGGCGCAGGUCUCUGAGCUUGUCAGUCCAUAUCUCACCAUUUUUAGCCAAACCUUCUCGUCGCAUUCUCUCCAAGAAAUUCUCCCAUUCAUCAGCAUAAAUUGUCUGCAAGUAAUACAAGGUGGAAAUACCAUCUUCAUUUUCAGUUCGAAGGUUUUCCUUACUAUAUAGCACUUCUUCAUUGUAAUACGGGGUCAAAACACUGAAAGCCAUCAUUUUCUCGACUUGGGGAGCAUGAGGCAUGUUCAUAAACAAUGAGUUACUGAAAAAGGCAAUACGACGUCUAGCCUCUAGAUUUUUCGGGACGUUAUUCAUCGAAUCCCGAGAUGUCAGAAUAGUGUGAAGGCGUCGAGCUUGCCGGUAAAAAGUUUCAUGAUCUGUAUCUGGCAAUUCAAUAGCAUUCUCAAAUAGCAACCUGUCACCCGAAACUGCCCUUCUUGGAGCCAAACCAUCCUCCCUCAGCUGAUCUGCAUUCCUUUUUUCUUUAAAAAAAUCUCGAAUAGCAGUCUCAUACAGGGCCUGCAGAAUGUUCACAAUCUUGUUGACAUCUUUAGUAGGCUUGAUUAUCAGGUCGAGGAGGAUGAUCAGCUUUGCAUGAAUCCGGGGAAGUGCCUUCAGAUUGAAUGUUUUUGUAAACUUUUCAUUCUGCAACGAGUGAUCAAUUUCUUGAAAUAAGACCGUAACAAUAGAAUGUUCCUCCACGUCAUAUUUAAUAAUAUGCAGCAACAAGUGCUUAACACAGUCAUAAGUUUCAAUGACAGCACAACGCCUGUACUCAUACUUGCAAAUUUUGUACCAGAGCCACUUAUCAGGAGCAUCUACUAACUCCUUGGCUUGGCUUAGAGCGAGAAGCAGCUCAUUGCAGAGAAGCAAACAUGGCCAUCGAAUGACCCUAACAUUCCAGGUAUCCUGUGGCAACUCCAACAACUCCACCUCCUUAUCACUUAAGAUAUCUUCUUCCCUAAAUGUCAAGAUUAUCUCGUUCCAUAUCAAUGCAAAUUUGUUUGCUUCUACCUGGCUCGAUUCAAGCUUCUUAAAGGGUCGGCCAAGGCCAUACCUUAGCUUCAACCUGUUAAUUGCAUCCCGAAACUUGCUCUUGAGACUUCCCCUGGCAUUCAAUAGUUGUUCCUCAGGCAUGAGAUUGAACUGAAUCGCACUAGCAAAGAAUUGGAAUCUUAAUCUCAACUGCUGCAUGUUUCGGAUCUCGCCCAAGUGCUGGAACAACCCAACUCCUGCACCAACAAAUGACGAGUAUAUGGAGUACCAAAUCUGUAUAUCCAUUAAGUAUAUUAACACCACUGGAAGCCACAAUAUUCCAACAGCAAAUCUGUUGCUUUUCCCAAAGAACUGGUGCCACUCAUAAGUCACAUCUUUCAUAUCCAGUAAGGCCUGUGUCGGGUUAACCAUCGGUUUGAUCUGCAAAAAGUAACUGAAGCAAAAUUUUGUGGCAAGGACAACAAUCCAGAACAAAGUAUACUUCACAUUGUCCAUAAGUCCUUCUCUAAGGCCUCUCCCCACAAAUGACCGGCUCUGAAACCACCAUGACAACACGUAAAAGAUCCUCCAAUUUCGAUUCUCGAUGAAAUUUCUGAUCCACGGUACUAUAAAAAGCGAAAGUGCCAGAAGUUCCGGGAUGACAUAUACUAAUGCAAUCUCAAGAAAAGUAACCACCUGAUUGUUCACCUCAUGUUUUUCCCAUUUCCCAUAUUUAUUCUUCUCCUUCACUAUCCUCCCAUAGAAAACACCAAAGAUUAGAAUCCAUAUAGCAGCAACAACACUCUUCAACACCAUCCUCACACCAAGCCCCAUAGUCUCCCUCGUAACUAAACUAUACUGCAUUCCAGCAUCAAGAAUUGACUGCAAGAACCUCAACCCACUCCACGUAAUAAACACAGUCAAAAGCGUAACCUGAACACUCCUCUCCUCCAAUGCCUGCCACGGAUACUCCCUCUCCUCCCACGCCACAAUAAUCGCAGCCUGAAGAAACAAAAUCAACAUAAUCCAAAGCUUAUCGAAACUCCUAAACAAAUUCCAAAAUGACCUCUGCUCCACAAACCCCGUCUUCCCUACCCUCUUCCCACCCCUAACAUCUGCCACAAAAAAAUUACUCCCCCGAUCAAGUGGCCAAUUCAACUUAUCGAAACACCUCCUACUCCAAAAGUACUCAUUGAUAUCAUCAUAAUUCCUCCAAUUCGAAUGAGGGGCAGUCCCAUUCCUACUAUUCUCUACCUCAGCCUUAAUCGUAUCAUAAAUAGGCGUAACAAUCUUUAUCAAGAACGCAUUCUCCCCCGACACACUAGGCAAAAUCGGCCUCCCCGUAUUCUCAUCAAUGUAAUCCUCAAGAAUCUUAUUAAGCUCCAUACUCAAAUUAUGAAAAAUAAAACAAAUACAUUCUGGCAUAAAUCUCAAAUUCGCAGACUCGCCCCAAAUAAGCAAGUAGAGAGAUACAUACAAAAGCUCGCGCCUUUGAUCGGAGUGGGCCCCACGGGAGCUAUCGGAGAUCCAGAUGUUUGGCUUCCGCCCAAGAAACGAGCACCAAUCAGAGUAGUUCUUGAGCAAUUUCCGGCGAAAACGUCGGAGCACAGUGGGGUCCAGUGAAUCGAUAUUGUCGGGGGGUGGGGUCAGGCGCAUCUGAGCGUUGGCCAAGUGAAGGACUAUGUGCUCGCGCUGGUUGCGAACGUUGUCGUUUUGGAAGCCGAAAAAAGCGCCGAGCCAGUCGAGGAGGUCCAUGUGGGGGAGCCAUGGCGCAAAGGGAGGUUUGCGGAGGUCUCCGACGGCGCGUAGGGCGGCGGCGGCGGCGCGUACUUCGGGGAAGCGGAGAGAGGGGUGGUCAGCUAGUAGGUCGUGGAUGGGGAUGAUGUUGUAGGGUUGGGGCGGGUUCGGGUCGGGCCGGGUCUGACCAGGUCGUCGGACAUUCAUAGCAUCAGUAAUCAAUAGUGAGAGAGAGAGAGAGUUGAGCAAAUAGGGAGAGAGAUUUAAGCAGAGAGACUGGGGCUUACAGAGAGAGAGAGAGAGAGAGAUUUGAAAUUUGUGUAAAUCUGGAGAGAGAGGGGGGGGAGGGGGGGUAACGUGCAAAAGUGAAGGUGGGGGAAGUAUGGACGAGCAGACAAAAAAAGGAAAAAUUGAAACGAAGCGAAAGCGGAAAGAAGAGAGAUGGGCCCGUGUAACGCGUGGAUACAGUGUGGGUAUAUACUGUUUGUUAAAAGCUAGCUAAUGGUUUUUCAAAUCUCACAAUACGCCGUGUUUUCAGAAGAAUCAAGCUGCACUCAAACGCACCUCCAUUACAUAAAUUAAAUAUAUAUUCUUAUAAAUACUAGCCUUUUAACCCGGUCGAAGCACGGGCGGGUAUAUAUAAAGAUUGAGCAAUCUAAUCAAUCGAAUUUCAAACAUAAUUUUGUAAUCUUAGUUUUUUUGACAACAAUAACUUUUAAGAUUAGAGUUAGAAAGAGUUAUGUAAUGAUUCGUGUUUAUAUUGAAAUAGAACACGUUAAAGUUAAAAAGAAUUAUAUGAAGGUUCUUGUUAAAAAAAAAAAAAUCAAAAUUGUAUAUUUAUAAUUUUUUUUAUAACAUCAUUAUAAUUUUUUUAAUGAAAUAUUAUAUGAUAAUGUAUUGUUAUGAGUGUUUUUAGUAUUUGAAACUGUUUAACAAUAUAAUACUAAUGGACUCCACAUUUGUAGACUUGUAGUACCAAAAGGAGGGUACCAAACCAAAAAAUCAAUAUGGCGCCUCGUGAAAGAUAUAAAAAAAAUUGUUUCAGAUUCAUUGAUAUGGUAUAUAUCUUGGCAUAAAUUAAUCUGAUUCUGUUUCAGAUUAUUUAUGGAAUAUAAUAAAUUGAAAGCAUCAGUCUGAUUUUAUUUCAGAUUAUUUAUGGAAUAUAGUAGCUUGCAAGUUUUUUAAUCUGAUUCUAUUUCAGAUUAUUUGAUUAUGGAAAAGAGUAGCGCACAAGUUUCUCGGCACCUAUAAAUACCCUUAUAGGUUGUAGGGUUUUGGAUCAUCUAAACACAACCUACACUGUCUCUCAAUAUCACAGUUAAGGGUGUGCAUUCGGUUCGGUUAACCGAAAACCGAACCGAAUAACCAAAAUAAUUUCGGUUCGGUUAAUCGAAAUUUAUAUUUCGGUUCGGUUUUCGGUAGCCAAAUUUUCAAUUUUCGGUUAUCCGGUUUUUUAACCGCGGUUUCAUAGAAUUUCAGUUUCGGUUAACCGAAAUAAAUUUCGGUUUCGGUUAACCGAAUGCACACCCCUAAUUACAAUGAUAUAUGUUUGUUGUUGAUUCUUUUAUAAUACUUAUAUAAAGGAGAAGCGAGGGGCGUGUAGGUGGCGCCUCUCAGAUAGCUCCGUUCUAUUUUUCUAAUUUUUCGGAUUUUUUGGGUGAAAGAUAUAAAAAAAAAUUGUUUCAGAUUCAUUGAUAUGGUAUAUAUCUUGGCAUAAAUUAAUCUGAUUCUGUUUCAGAUUAUUUUUGGAAUAUAAUAAAUUGAAAGUAUUAGUCUGAUUUUAUUUCAGAUUAUUUAUGGAAUAUAGUAGCUUGCAAGUUUUUUAAUCUGAUUUUAUUUCAGAUUAUUUGAUUAUGGAAAAGAGUAGCGCACAAGUUUCUCGGCACCUAUAAAUACCCUUAUAGGUUGUAGGGUUUUGGAUCAUCUAAACACAACCUACACUGUCUCUCAAUAUCACAGUUAAGGGUGUGCAUUCGGUUCGGUUAACCGAAAACCGAACCGAAUAACCAAAAUAAUUUCGGUUCGGUUAAUCGAAAUUUAUAUUUCGGUUCGGUUUUCGGUAGCCAAAUUUUCAAUUUUCGGUUAUCCGGUUUUUUAACCGCGGUUUCAUAGAAUUUCAGUUUCGGUUAACCGAAAUAAAUUUCGGUUUCGGUUAACCGAAUGCACACCCCUAAUUACAAUGAUAUAUGUUUGUUGUUGAUUCUUUUAUAAUAUUUGUUUUGGUCAUCGGACGUAUUUGUUGUUGUUUGCAAGCUUACGGUCUGUUUUAUUGAUGUCAUCAGUCAGUAUAGUCGUAUGCUUUUUAUAUGCAAGUAGUGGUGUAUAUGUCUAAGAAGUAGUGUUUGGAAAAGUUAAUGACAAUGAUAGUCAAAAACAAAACUUUUCAAAAAGAAAAACACAAUUAAAAUUAAGAUUCGUCGUGCUUUAAAUCGUUAAUUACAUGUAGAAACUUAUUAUCAUUUUUUCACAUAUAAAUUAUAGUCCAAUUUUGCAAUUUUAAAAAUUAAUAUUGGUAUUGCAUCGAGAUGUUUAUAAUAUAAAAUUUAUUUUAUUUUAUAAAUAUUAGUUUUGAAUCAUUAAUAUAAUUUUUAUAAGUCGCCGCAAAUUGAUUUUAUUCUAUAAAUAUUAAUUUUGAAUCAUUAAUGUAUAGGCCGCCGCAACGCGCGGAUUCUCAACUAGUAUAACUAAAAUUUUGGAUUACAAAUUAUACUCAUGUUUGCUUAUUAUAGUAUAGUAUAGAUUACUACCAAUAUCAGGCGAGUUUAAAUGGUAGUAUAAAUUAUUAACUUAAAAGCGUAAAUUGCACCAAACAAAAACAAGCCUAAUAUAGGAAAAAAGAGUUGACGCGCACAUGCUACCCUCCGGCUCGGAGUUAUUUAGAGAAGGCCACAUGCAUCAUCCAAAUAUUUUCUCUGUUUUUCCCGCUUAAUUAAAUUAUGCUGGUCCCCACCAAAAACACAACUUCGUAAAAAUAUUACACAAAAAAACUUCUAUAAACUACAACGCCAUUUACUCAUUUUAUUUUCCAACUUUGCUAAUUAAGUUUGUUUAAGCAACUUACACAAUUAAUUGUUUUAAAAGGAAAGGUAAAAUUCUGUUUUUGAAAAUCUGAUAACAUGAGUGAGCAGCGGGUCCCAUUUGCAACGGCCAAAAUCAGUGGCUCGAAUUAUUUUUGUUUAACGGGCAGAUACCUAAGCUAAAACUUAGUAGUAAUUUCUACCGCUUGUUUAAAAAAACAGAAUAGACAUUCAGAUCUGGACGUUGGAUUUAGACGAUUAUGAGAAGUUAAUAAUAAUAAUUGAAAACUUAACUCAAAUUUUAGUUGACCAAACAAAACAAACAAGAAGCUGCGUAGUACUCCUACUUGGUUAAAGAAUAUUAAGACCCAUUUCGCAAUCUCAAUGUAAUUGACAUGUUGUUGCCUUGCCAUUAGAGCAAGUCCAACAGCUGCCCUAUUUAGUGUCCUAAGUCAUAAUAUAGGGCAUUUGAUGAAAAAACUUGAUCCAACAAUGUCCUAGUGAUGCCCUAUAUCACUAGGACAACCCAUUCAAGCCCUAUUUUUGAGGCACUCUCUCUCCUUGCCCUAUCCCAUAUUUUAUAAUAAAUUAUUCCCACCACUCUCUUUCUCUCUCUAUUUUAUAUUAUGUUUUAAUGAUGAAAGUGAACUUUUAAUAAUAAAAUAUUAAACAUAUAGUUUAAUAUAUGUGCCUUAUUUUCACUAUAUGUUUAAUAUUUUAUUAUUAAAAGUUCACUUUCAUCAUUAAAACAUAAUAUAAAAUAGAGAGAGAAAGAGAGUGUUGGUAAUAAUUUAUUAUAAAAUAUGGGAUAGGGCAAGGAGAGAGCUCUAUUCGUUUAAUAUUUUAUUAUUAAAAGUUCACUUUCAUCAUUAAAACAUCAAAGAAAGUAGAGAGAGAAAGAGAGUGUUGGUAGGAAAUUAUUAUAAAAUAUGGGAUAGGGCAAGGAGAGAGUGCCUCAAAAAUAGGGCUUGAAUGGGUUGUCCUAGUGANNNNNNNNNNNNNNNNNNNNNNNNNNNNNNNNNNNNNNNNNNNNNNNNNNNNNNNNNNNNNNNNNNNNNNNNNNNNNNNNNNNNNNNNNNNNNNNNNNNNNNNNNNNNNNNNNNNNNNNNNNNNNNNNNNNNNNNNNNNNNNNNNNNNNNNNNNNNNNNNNNNNNNNNNNNNNNNNNNNNNNNNNNNNNNNNNNNNNNNNNNNNNNNNNNNNNNNNNNNNNNNNNNNNNNNNNNNNNNNNNNNNNNNNNNNNNNNNNNNNNNNNNNNNNNNNNNNNNNNNNNNNNNNNNNNNNNNNNNNNNNNNNNNNNNNNNNNNNNNNNNNNNNNNNNNNNNNNNNNNNNNNNNNNNNNNNNNNNNNNNNNNNNNNNNNNNNNNNNNNNNNNNNNNNNNNNNNNNNNNNNNNNNNNNNNNNNNNNNNNNNNNNNNNNNNNNNNNNNNNNNNNNNNNNNNNNNNNNNNNNNNNNNNNNNNNNNNNNNNNNNNNNNNNNNNNNNNNNNNNNNNNNNNNNNNNNNNNNNNNNNNNNNNNNNNNNNNNNNNNNNNNNNNNNNNNNNNNNNNNNNNNNNNNNNNNNNNNNNNNNNNNNNNNNNNNNNNNNNNNNNNNNNNNNNNNNNNNNNNNNNNNNNNNNNNNNNNNNNNNNNNNNNNNNNNNNNNNNNNNNNNNNNNNNNNNNNNNNNNNNNNNNNNNNNNNNNNNNNNNNNNNNNNNNNNNNNNNNNNNNNNNNNNNNNNNNNNNNNNNNNNNNNNNNNNNNNNNNNNNNNNNNNNNNNNNNNNNNNNNNNNNNNNNNNNNNNNNNNNNNNNNNNNNNNNNNNNNNNNNNNNNNNNNNNNNNNNNNNNNNNNNNNNNNNNNNNNNNNNNNNNNNNNNNNNNNNNNNNNNNNNNNNNNNNNNNNNNNNNNNNNNNNNNNNNNNNNNNNNNNNNNNNNNNNNNNNNNNNNNNNNNNNNNNNNNNNNNNNNNNNNNNNNNNNNNNNNNNNNNNNNNNNNNNNNNNNNNNNNNAUUAUGACUUAGGACAAUAAAUAGGGCACCUGUUGGACUUGCUCUUAGUCAUCAAUCAAUCUAUGUAGAUGUAGGCAGCUAUUUGAAUGCAAGACGUGUAAAUUUCGGAUCAUUUACCAUUCCAUUUUAUAAUGAUAAAGAGCGAAGAAAUUUAUACUACUCCUAAUGGCUAAUAAUGAGGGGAGGACAAAUAAGGGAAACAGCGAUGGGCGAUGGGGCUGUGGAGGUUGUCAAGUGUCAACAACGAUGUAGUUUCAUUGAGAUGAAUGGUUCAUAAAUUAGAUAGUCUAUACAUAUACGGUAUUUUGACUCUGCUCAUUUUAUGAAAAUAAAAUUUUAUUUUUCAAAAAAAUUAUAUCUAAAAUUAAGUACUUUGUCCCUCUUAUUUCGAAAAAAAGGAAAAAGUACUCUGUCCCACUAAUUAUUUACGUUUCGCGAUUGAGAGGCUAGACAUCAUGACUCAUAUAAAGUAUAGUUUCACUCCUUAUUUUUAAAUUUUAUUUAUUUGAAUAAAAAUUUAAUAUACAAUUUUUCCCCAGAAAAAAUGAAAUCUUAAAACAAAAUUAUAUAUAUGAGCAUUAAAAUGUGUGCACGGUCCGGAGGAUUUAUAUAAAAUAUGUUUCAUACAUCUCAUUUAGAUAUAUAAAUACUUAUUUUCAAAAAAUAUAAAUUCAUUUUUUUUUUCUGAAAGUGGAAAUAUGAAAAAUAAGAAGCAUCAAUCGUUUUUCAUACAUACCCAUUUCAUAAUAGCUUUCUUUCGUUUUUUGAAUCCCCAUUUUUAAUUUAGAAAGUCUGUGGGUAGCAGUUUAGUUGGUAUGUUACGCAAUUGGAUCGUUGUGAUAACGAGUUUGAUGCCCUGAAUUUAUAUCAGAAUACACCCCAAAUUUUUCAUGCAAAUGAUAACUUCUCCCUCGACCCCCACCCACAUACAUAUAUAUAUGGUGGAUUGUGGACAAGAGUAACAACAAUCAUAUGACAAAAACACCAGAAAACAGAACUCACGAAUAUAUACAGUGGGCCAGACAAGUGCCACAUUUCAUGUUACAAGCACCCAAUGAACAUACUAAAUAAUUUUUAAAUAUCCAAACAUUCCCUGGUCCAAAUAUGUAUACCAAGAUACCGUGCCAAUUACAUCAACUUUAUUUGAAACAGCAUACAUAGACUAAAAAGACGUCAUGAUUGUCUCUGCAAUCGGCUGAAUACGAGUAGUAGGAAUAAUGUUGCUUACCCGGACCAUCCUGUCUGAGAACCACCCCCGGAAGGAUGCACAUUCAACCUGUCCAGCACGGCAUUGAAAUCAACAGGUUGGCCACUUUCCUCUAGCCUCUGAAUUACACUUGCUACAUGCUCUCCUCUAUAUCCCAUGCUCACCAAUUUCUCAACCAGUUCAUUGUAGGGAUGGUUGCGCAUAAAUUGUGGAGGGCGAGGCAUCAUAUUAGUGCUGCUAUUAGGUUGCUGAUUCUGAGAAUAACCACCUUGAGGGAAAUGAGACUGGCUUGAAUGUUGCUGCCUUCCCCCUUCAGCAUCAUACAUCAUGUACGCAUUUCCAGAGGACAGUGUUUGGUGUGGUCCAGAAGCAGCAUACCCCUCACCUGGCUGUGCUCCAAAAGAAGCCUUCAGAUGCUGAUGUGGAGGCGGCUGCUGCUGUGGCUGUGGCUGAGCUGGUCUACCAACCCCACCAUAGCCAUAAGGCAUGACAUCUGCACGGCUUGGAACAGGUUGAGACAUCCCUGAAUAUGGCAGUUGCAUUGAUAUGCUGUUUGGAAGGGUCUCGGGAGGAGUCGCCGCUUGACUGGGCAUAUAGUUAGGAGGAUAAACAGCAGGAGAUGUUGGCCUUAUCUGAGGCUGCAUUGAUGUUUGCGGGUGUUGUUGACCUUGCUGGGUCAUCUGCUGGGGCCACUGCUGCUGGUACUGAGGUAAAGAGUGAUUUUGUGGUGUUUGAUUCACUUGAGAUUGUGCGGGUUGUGGUUGAGUUUGAUACUGGGAAUUAGAUGGAAGAUAUUGACCAUGAGAUGGCUGCAUAGAAGACGGCAAGUUUGGUAAUUGCACUGGAGGUAAAUAAUAACCCUGAGCAGGAGUCACAUUUGGAGGUGGCUGUUGCGGCAUGGGCUGCUGGUGAUGCUCCACAGGUCUGGAGGGAACUGAAGGUUGCGGAGGUAUUUGACUGGGUAAAGCAAGAGCUAGUUGUUGUCCACGGGCGUCUGAUGUAUUGUCGUUCUUCUUAGGUUCAGAAGCAGGUGGAGAUGCUCGUUCCUCUCCCUGCUGGGAAUGGGUUGCCGAAUUGGACUCUUUCUGUGCAAGCUGAAUUUUUGCAAGUUCUUUCUGGGUUUCAGCAAGCUCCUGUUUGUCUCUUAGAAUCUGGACUGACCUGUGGACCUGUAAUGACAACAUGUAUGAGUCUUAUUGAACAAUUCGAGAACUUUAAGCCAUUUAAACUAUCAAAAACACAUCAACAAGAAGCAGCAGCAGAUUGCUUCAAAUACAAAGCAAUUGAGCUAUGCAGCAUACCUUGACAUCAUAGUUUCAAAAUGAAGGAACAAAAAUAUUCAUCAUAAUUAGUGUGAUCUUGCUAGAACUUCUGUAUAGAUACUACUAUACAAAUGUGAAAAGUAAAAAUGUUACCUCUUGAAGAUGCUUCUCAAGAAAUUUGAGCUUCGAAUCUGCCUCCCCGUUAUCACGAGCUAACUCGGAUCGCAUUUCACCAAUAGAUUUAUCAAGAUUAUAGCAGUAUAGUUCCAACUGGGAUAGUCUGGAACUGAUCCCCUCCAGAAAACGCAUCAGAUUGUCAGCAUACUUUUUCAUAGUCAAUUCAACAGUUGCAAUAACAUCCUGGUUGAUAGAUUCUUCUGGAGGACUGUAAGAGGAAGCAGGAUACACAGCAGAUUUUGCCAUUCUACUUUUGUGAAAUUCCUGCUUCAACAUUAUAGCAACAUUUAGUAUAACUCCAACAAGCAGUUGACUUAAUUAUAGAAAUAUAUAGAAGGAAUUAUCUUAUUCGAUAGCUUACACUUACUAAAAAUAAUAACAGGGUGAAAAGAUUAGUAGGAAGUGUCCAGCCAUAGAGAAAACAAAAAUAAGCAUGUGCAGAGAUAAAUAAGAUUGAGGGUCAGUGUCUCAUGAAAUUAAAAUAUAUAUAUACGUAUAUAAAGCAUUUCUAGCACAUAGCUGAAAGCAUCACAUCCUUCAAACAAGUGCAAAACUAACCUUGAUAUCUGAAUAAAAAUAAAAUGAAUAUCCACACAUUGGUAUAAAAUUAUAAGCUUUCCUAAAUUAUGGUAAAUAAUGAUCUGGGUAUGGCCUAAGAAGUUGUCCAUCCAGAGUAAAAUAAAGUAUGUACAUUCAUUGGGGAAAAGCAUGUACAUAUAGGAAUAUAAUCCAUAUAGUAUCCAUAAAUCUUUUUGUAAGGUUUAACACAGAAAACAGUCUGCGAAACUCAAUAUACCAUAAAGAGACUAAAAAAAACUAACUAGCGAAGCAAACUUGUACAUUAUAUGAAACUGAAUGAUAGGAAAUUAAAGAACUUAUUGGUUCAUCUAGACACGGGACCAAACAAACCAAUCAACAAAAUCAGCUACCAUUAAAACAAAAACAUAUACGAGACAAAAUUGGCAAGAAUCUAGCCAACGUCACUCAUUACACUCAACAAAGUGACAUGAUCAACAUAUCCAUAUAACUCAAGUUCAAUUUCAUAACACAAACUAGUUGGUAGUUGCGUUCUUAGGUAUAAAACAUAUACAAAACAAAUACUAUAACGACUGAUUAAACAACCAACACCUUCACCCUCACAGUUAGAACACGUUAUCAAUUGUGUAUUCACAAACAACCUGUCGGAAAUCCAAAAACUAAGGUACACCGACACACUUUUGAUUUGAACUAUACUUGCAAUAUUUCGCACCCGAAACAAUUCAAACCAGCUUCUAACAAUCAAGUCAAUACUCGAAACUUCACAAAAACUAAAUUAAAUCCCGAAUCUCCUAUCAGCUAAAAAUUCAACCAACCACAAAGCAAUUCAAUCAAUUUGAUCAUUUUAAACAAAACCCACAAACAUCAAGAUCAAGAAAGCUAAUUUUCACACGCCCCCACAUCAAAUUACAAAGCAAAAACACAAAAAAAUAAUAAUCAAAACCCUAACAAAAAUAAACAUAAUUGACCAAAAAAAUCAGGAAAAAGAAUUAGGGUUUGACCUUGGAAGAAUUGGCACCGACAGGAUCGGAGGAGUGGACGCCGUUGGAAUUUUCUUGAUUAGCGUAAUCUUCGUAAGAGCAAAGAAUAUCAUCGGAAGCGAAAUCGUAGCCUUUUGGACCCGAAUUGUUCCGACCCGAAGAAGAUCCGGAUGCCAUGGGAAGAGCUUCGUUGAUCGUUAGCUGUGAGGUGUGAAAUUGAAGAAAUUUAAGGGAAAUUAAGCCCAGAAAAUAGUGGUCUUGUAGAGAGAUAAAGGCUAUCAAGAUGGAUAGAGAUGAAAAAAGUGCGUGUAUAUAUUAUGUAAUCAACCUGUAGGGAGAGAAAUGUGAUCAAAUUAUAUUAAUUUAAUGUAUAUGCAUUUAAUUUACUAAUAUUUUUUUUAAUAAGCUACUAAUAUAUUAAUUUGAUAUGUAUAUGUCAUAAGUAUAUAUAUAUUUUUUAUUUAUAUGUAUAUAUUUUAUUUUAUUUCUGCCUAUUUUAUUAUUUUCAAUUUAUUAUAAAAUAAUAAUAAAUAUUAUUAAUUUAUUUAUUUGGUUAUUCUGAAAUUGAGAUCCAGCUUGCAAGUAGCUUCAAAGUUGAUUAGGAUACCGAUAGCGAUUAGCAAUGAUUGACUUCUGAAUUGUACAUUUCCAAUUUCCUACCAACACUUGUCUCUUUUUCUAUUCCUGUAAUAUGGUCAAAGAAAUUUUUAGUCCAAAAUAUUUGUUCAAUUUUCAAUACAAAUAUAUUCACAUUAUUCCAAAAUUAUCAAGAAAGUUGUAUAACAAUUAAUGACGGUUGGGGUACAAGUGAGAAAUAUCUCAUUAAUAUUUUCUUAAUAUCUAUAUUUUUUAAAAGGGGCAUGUAUGGUGGGACGGAUGAGAUUUUUUUAGGAUAUAUUUCUUAAAAUUUUUAUCGAAGUUUUGGAAAUGAAUUCUGAGAACUAUUUCAACAAAUUUUGUUUGAUAUUUAUUAUAAUUUUAAUAACUCAAAUGAUAUCUUGUUAAAAAUUAAUAAAAAAAUGAUAUAAUUCGAUGACCAUUUUAAUAUUUUUUAUAGUUUUUGUGUUACAAGACCACUUUAACAAGGAAGAAAAACCUUCCCAUACGGCAUAUGCUAAUGCUAGCAUCUUCGGGGAUUGAUGAACAUAUUUAUUCAUCAUUGGCACCUUGCUAAUAGUUGAUUUAUUUAUAAUUCGUAUGAAUGGGAACCUUGGUCAUGACAUCCUCGAAUACCGGAUGCUUUGUGAUCCUUGGUGCUGAAUUCUUGUUACAAGUCAGUAAAAAUAUGUGGCCGCUGAUGCUCAAGUUAUAAACUCCACAUUCAUCACAAAAUCAUAAUCAACCCAUAGAUCUAAAAAAUAUAAACUAAAAAAUAAUAAUGCUGAUUCAGUUGCUACUGUGUUACAUUACAUGUGAGAAGAUAGCCCCCUUUGCCGAAUUUAAAGAUGAUUAUAUAUGUAAGGAAUGGUGAAAGAGGGAGUAAAAAGAAUACAACACAAGCAGUAAAUACACGACAAUUCCUACAAAACCAGCAGCCAAACCUGCAGUAACUUGGUCACAGUACUUGUGAAACUGACCACAUAUCGGUAACCAACCAGCAUGAUAAUUCCCUUUUUUCCCCACAUGUGCUAUGGCUAAUGCUGCUGAUAUGCUUGUACUCAGUAACAUUAUCACAACCUGUCAUUAAAUUACCAAAACCUGAAUUAGCGAAAAGGGAUGAGACGGAAGAAUCAUAUUUUCAAGUUUCAUUUAUGCUUACGACGUCAGGGACUACAAUGAAUCGCCAGAAAGAGUUGUCUAGAGGUAGAAACAGCAGCAGGAGACCGUAGAUGCUUGCAAUUACAUUUGCAAUUACAAAGUACCUUGUUAUGAUAAUAGAAAAAGAACAUAUUUAUAUUAGACCAGUUAAGAUAGUUGUUUAAUGUAGAAUCAGGAAAAAGAAGAAGCUUACUUUAAAGCUGGUGAAUCACUGUACUUGGCUUCGAAAGAGAUGGUGAAGAUCCUAGCUUUUUCAUGGCUCGUAGCUGUGAUAAUGGCAGCCAAAAAAGUCGCGAUCAAUGCUAGAAGCCUUGGAAAGAGAAUGGCAUAUUUCUUGAGAUGUUUUUUCUUGGUCUCCAUGGUCAGAGUUUCAUUCAGUAUGUUCUGAAAUUACUGGAUUCAAGAAUUUUAGUUUUAAGAAAAAUGUAAGCUAACAGAUGUGUUUGGUGCACAACUAUGGCAUGGAAUAGUGCUGCAACUUUUCACACAUAUCUGUAUGCUUGUGUUAGUUGAGAAACUCAACUAUUUGUCACACCAAAAUUUCUACUUUUCAUCUGAAUUCAAGACUUUCAACUAAAUAGUUUAUUAAGUAACACUAUACUGAAAAUUUGCAUUGCAGCACAGUUCCCUGCCAAGACAAACAAAAUUUAACAGUAAAGUUUUUAACAAAAACAAAUCAAAUUUUCACCAAAAUUUAUCGGCACAAGCACUGAUUUUUUUUUUCUGCCAAGUAAAACUAAAGUAAUGUAUCGUUUCAGCAGUAACAUGUUGAUGAGUUUUAAGCUGGUGAUUAGAUAUAAUAAUAGACUCGUAUAAGCCUACAUUUUUUUUUCAUGAAUUUACAAAUAAAUAUUGAUAAUUAUUAUUCUCAAAGCAAUUUCUUUGAAUCUUUAGAAUUAUUUGUAAUAUUGGGUUUACUCAAAUGUCUCAUGACUCACAGGUGUCCACGAAAGCUCGAUGAAAUCACUUAAAUUAUUAUAUAUUUUUUCAAUCAAAUUUCUUAAAAAAAAUAAUAUAAAACAUGAUAGAGUAGGGGUCACUUUUUGAUGCAUCACUGGUAGAAUUAUUAUGUGACUGAUAAAACAUAAAAAUAAUAAGAAGUUCAAAUCUUAUUAUAUUAAUUUUGUCAAUUUUUAAAAUAUUCAUCAAAAAUAUAUAGUCCUUUUGAANUGCCAAGACAAACAAAAUUUAACAGUAAAGUUUUUAACAAAAACAAAUCAAAUUUUCACCAAAAUUUAUCGGCACAAGCACUGAUUUUUUUUUUCUGCCAAGUAAAACUAAAGUAAUGUAUCGUUUCAGCAGUAACAUGUUGAUGAGUUUUAAGCUGGUGAUUAGAUAUAAUAAUAGACUCGUAUAAGCCUACAUUUUUUUUUCAUGAAUUUACAAAUAAAUAUUGAUAAUUAUUAUUCUCAAAGCAAUUUCUUUGAAUCUUUAGAAUUAUUUGUAAUAUUGGGUUUACUCAAAUGUCUCAUGACUCACAGGUGUCCACGAAAGCUCGAUGAAAUCACUUAAAUUAUUAUAUAUUUUUUCAAUCAAAUUUCUUAAAAAAAAUAAUAUAAAACAUGAUAGAGUAGGGGUCACUUUUUGAUGCAUCACUGGUAGAAUUAUUAUGUGACUGAUAAAACAUAAAAAUAAUAAGAAGUUCAAAUCUUAUUAUAUUAAUUUUGUCAAUUUUUAAAAUAUUCAUCAAAAAUAUAUAGUCCUUUUGAAUUCUAUACACUUUUCUUUUCGGGAUGUCCCAUUCAAUUCUAUACAUUUCAAAACUUCCCCAAAACAGUAAACUUUUAUAAUAUAAAAAUCCUACCCACCCACUAACUUCAUCUACUUUUCACAAUUUAUCACUUAAAUUUUACCUACUUUUUUUUCUCUUUCUCAUUACUUUACAUUACUUUAUACACUUUUCUUAAUCUUCAUGCCUAAAUGUAUAUAUCUUGAAGGGACAGAGGGAGAGUACUGAUUUAAAUAAUUUAAACGAGAUCUGGUUUGAGAGCGGGGAGUCAACGACCAAAUGUAAGGACGUAACGGAUGGUCGGUAUAAACCUCUUUAUAAUAGUAUUUAUUAUUCAAAAUACAAACACGUUACAAAAUUAAUAUUUGCCUAAAUAUUGUCUUUUAAACACCUGUGUAAUAAUCAAAACCUAAAAUCUUGUCUUUCUUCAAGCACCUGUAAAACUAUGGCUAUUUCUUCAUCUUCCACCUUUGCGUCUAAAACCCUAAAAUUUUCUGCACCAAAAGCUUCAAUUUUGAACCUCCAUUACUCUCCCCCAUCCAAAACUUAUCUCAAAUCCAAUCUGAAUUUUACCUUAAAGCCCCCAUCUUUGUCUCUUUCCUUCAAUCCCCACAAAGUCAAACCCCCAAUCAAGAAAAGUCAACGCAAUGGAUUUGAAGUCAAUUCCUUGUUCACUGGCAUUGUUGAAGAAAUGGGUGAAAUUAAAGAGCUCGGGGUCUCGAAAAUUGAUGGUGGGUUUGAUAUGAAAAUUAAAGGGAAGGUGGUUCUUGAAGAUGUUAAUUUGGGUGACAGCAUUGCUGUGAAUGGUACUUGUUUAACAGUUACGCAUUUUGAUAAAAAAUUGAGUGAAUUUACAGUGGGGUUGGCUCCGGAGACAUUGAGGCUAACUUCGUUGAUUGAGCUUGAGGCAGGUUCAGUUGUAAAUUUGGAGAGGGCGGUGAAGCCGUCGACUCGAAUGGGGGGGCAUUUUGUGCAAGGCCAUGUGGAUGGGACUGGGGAGAUUGUGGGGAAAGAAGUGGAGGGGGAUUCUUUGUGGAUUAAGGUUAAGACGACACCAGAGAUUUUGAAGUACAUUGUGCCGAAAGGGUAUAUUACGGUGGAUGGAACUAGUUUGACUGUAGUGAAGCUGUUUGAUGAGGAGGACUGCUUUAAUUUUAUGUUGGUGGAGUAUACUCAGCAGAAUGUGGUGAUACCAUUGAAGAAAGUUGGGCAGAAGGUGAAUUUGGAGGUUGAUAUACUUGGUAAGUAUGUGGAGAGGCUACUAAGUAGUGGUUUUGUUGGUGCUAUGAAAUCGGCGUGAUGAUUUGAAGUUGAAAUUGCCACGUGGUUGUUUACGAAGAAUAAAUUAAGGUCCUCUGUAAGUGCAAUGUACUCUCGAAACUGUUAAUUUGCAAUUAUGUGAGCUAGUUGGUUUAUGUGUAAUUUCAUUGUUUUUGAUGAUUGGUAAUAUGAAUAAGAAUAUAUGCAUCUUGAUCCUGGUUGAGACUUGAGAUACUAUAUUAUAGUUAUUCAGUUUACAUCAUGAUGAUCUGUAAAAUGUUACCCUGAUACGGUAUAAUACCUCAUGUGAUAAAUAAUAUAUUGCUAAUUAGGGGUAAAUGUUACAUUUAAUGGAAUUCUGAGUAUAUGUGGCAGAUGUUAAUGAUACAAAUGGAGGAAGCACCAAGGGCAUAUCUUGUGUACUUUACAGGGUUAGCAAGUGAAUGUCUCUGUGUAUGUAUAUGAUAGUCUAGAAUUUUGUACUGUAAUGGCUAGCAGUUGAUUUCAUUGAAGAAGCACUACAUAGAAUAUGUACUUGUGUAGGAGUAGAAUGAACCCGGUCUCUUUCUUACUGCCGUACAACUCUUGUCAUAUGUAUAAUAAGCCUUUAUCCUUAAGAGCCAAGCUGUAGCUAGAACUAAGCCCAGCUAUACUUGCUCACGAAUAUCACGCAGUCUACAACUUGUCCGUAAUUCGACAAGCUAACUCUAAAUAAGCAGUCUAGCAUAAACUGCUACAGGUUCUGUGUUGUCCAUAAUUUGACAACCUAACUCUAAAUAAGCAGUCUAGCAUAAACUGCUACAGGUUCUGUGUUGUCCAUAAUUUGACAACCUAACUCUAAAUAAGCAGUCUAGCAUAAACUGCUACAGGUUCUGUUCAUGCUUUCAUUGAGUGUCUAGCUUAUAUAUGUUAGUUUCUCAGAGCAACUCCAUUGCCAAAGGGAUUGUAUCUUUAUCGAAUUGGUGCUAGUGUAGUUAUAGAUUAACAGGAGGACUGCCUUGUCUGGGCAAUGUAUCUUCUGAGAAUUAGCACGUAGGUAUAUUUUUAUAGGUAUUGUGCAGAAAAACCCAUAGCCCUUGAAAAGGCCUAUAAAAUUGGAUUGAAAUUUUCUUAUAUUGGCUUUGGAAGCCCAUUAACUACAGUAUUAUAGGGUCUCCUUGUUAUCUAAUUAAUAACUUUGAUGAUUAUCUUAUAAAUUAGGGAUCAAAAACUUGUCUUUCAGAGUGAUUUCAAUUAGAUAAGCUUGUAUAGCUUUAAAGUCCUGUAAUUUAAAAAGAUUAUUCGAGAGUUUUAUGUUGAUUACUGGAAUCCUUAGUUCUCUGUGGAAGAUCUAUUACUGGCAAUAGUUCCAAAUCAGUAAUGACCAACUUAUGUCCCCAUCAAUUGUCACAACAAAAAUGAUGUAUAGGUGUGUGAAUAGUUUUAGAAACCACAGCACUUCGAAUCGAUCGAUGACUCUUUUGUUAUUUUUGUAUAUAUUAGGUUUGAUUUUUACCUCUCUUUACUCUAAAUAAUUGGGACAUAUGGACAAUUUUAAGUUUUCCCCAAUUUUUCUCUUGGCAAGGUUAUAUAGCCAAUUAAAUAAUGAAUGAUGCCAGUAGCAAGUAGCACCAGUCGGAGAUGAAAUUGAGAAAUGGUCUAGAGAUUAUCUGAUAUGGUGCAUUUUCAUGUUUAGAUGCCAUUGAUUGUACCAUAUGUAGGAGUGGUAUUAUAAAAUUUUACAACUUUGGAAGGAAGGGCGACUAUAAGAUGCUCAUGGGUUCACUUGACAUCAAUUGGCCUUUUUGCUCUGUCAAUAGGUGUUUGUUUUUCCUUCUAAUUUUUAUGCGAGGAUGAGAUAACUGAAAACACCCUAAUAAAAGAGUUUAGACCAUGGAAUCAAGAAUUGUUAGAGUUUUGAAGUUAUAUGUGAGAGUAAUGUUUUCUUCUCCCAAAACUUCCCAGUGAAGUGGUGAUAAGAGAUUUAAGAGCCAAAGUUUAAUGUGCUCAUUUCUCACCAAAUAUCUUUCUCCUUCAGAUUGGUGUAUCACAGGAAUUGUUGUUGCAAUCUCCUUUCUUUGACAAAAUCAAAAUUUCCCAGUCUUUUAAUGAAGAGAAAAAACAGUAACCACUGAAUAAAGGAGCGUAUCUGCAAAAUCAUGGCAUUACAAUAUUUUCUGCAACUGUCAUAACUCAUAAACCAGUAAAAUUAUAAAUUGUCACCUGAAGUUUCAGGAAAUUACAACUCAUCCCGGAAUGUCCAGAAAACAGUAGUUUAGCUCCUGUAAUUUACAAUUUGCACUUCUACCCCUGAAAGUUUUGAGAUUGCAGUUCACUCUCUGAGCUUUUGAUAACUCAACUGCUUCCAGUUGUGCAUGUCUAAUACGAACACCACAUAAUAUAGCAGCAAAGUUUUAUGUCAAAAAUAGAUGAUAUUGUAAAACCCUGCGACUUUGUAAGUAGAAGUUCAAUAUAUAUGCAGAUGCCCUGAUUGUAUUCCACUUUGUAAUACUAAUAAUUAGUAGUCCAAGACUCGAGAUUAAAGGAGUCAACCUUAUAUAUUAGCUCUACCACUAUAAUACAUAUCCGUUAUACUUUACUUUCUAAUUAUAAUAAAACUAAUUAAUCAACUAACAAAUGAUGUUACACUUAAAUCAUUUGAUAUAUAUAUAAAAUUACGAAACCACCCAUUAAUACUUCUGUAUCCCUCUUCUCUUACUGGCUAAAGGGUUAUCUGUUUUAGCCUAUUAGGAGAUGAAACAACCCUUCCUUUUACCAUUUUCAUUCUCUCAGUAAUUCGAGGACAUGUAUAUGUUGCAUUUGCAAGUACUUCUCUUCGAUCCAGAGUUGUUAGAAAAUGUGAAACAAGAGUUGUACAAUGUUACCAAAUUAGUGAAACUGAUACAACAAAUCCAUGCAUGAAAUUUGAAGUAGCUGGUGGUCCUUGUUGGCCGGCUUUAUGAGGUCAUCUCUGAGAUCUAAGUUUAAGAAAGAUGCAUACACAAGUGGACAGAGCUUAUGGACAAUAUAAUACAAAUAAGAUUGGAGAAACAUCUUGUAAAGUAUCAAAUGUGACAGAAAAGUUUAUUUUCAAAUGUUAAAGUGCUGAGCUCAGGGAAGGAAAGUAUAUGUAUUUAGGUGGCUGUUAUCAUCUUAGAGGAGCUGAUACCAUAAACUAAUUUUUGCGGAGUCAGAUUGCAAUCUGUAAAACCUACGCUAUUAUUGCCUGUACCAUUGAUGUUGUCACUGUCCCCUGCGGGGCAGUAUAUAAUUUAAAGGCGAUUUUAUUCUCUCGGGUAUUCUAUUACAGUUUGCCUUGAGGUUGAUUAAAAAUUCUUAAUUGCAAGUUUUCACACACAAAUAUUACCUCCACUACUAAAGGUCUAAAGCUAUUGGCUAUCUUAUAUGAAUAUAGUAUUGGCUCACUACUCAUAUACCAAUAAUAUUACAUAGUUAAUCUUAAUUGGUAGAUGAUGCUUACGAACAGGGUACUAUAUUCACUAAUUCUGCUAGAUCACAGACCAUGGACUACAUGUGCAGUGCAAAUCCCAUGAAUGUUUUAAAGUGAUUAUUAUUUAGUUUGUGCCAGCAGCUUGUAGCUCUGUAAACUAACAGUUGCGUAUGUUCUCUUGCCACCCUGUAUCAACAUCACAUGUCUUUCUUCUUGCUUCUUUUCUCGUUUGUUGCUAAAUAACAUCACAUGCCUUUCUUAAUCUGCUCGACAUAUUGUCCCCGGCUGCCUACUUUCUUUUCUUUAUAGUAUUUAUAGUUGUCUGUGUUCUUCCGCGUCCUUUCCUCCUGGGAGAGGAAUCUGAUUGGUGUCUUGGAAGCGUAGAAAUGAUUUUUCUAUUAUGGGUUUGGUAAUUCUCUAUGCAUUACUAUUAUAUGUACUAGGAGUACUCCCUAAUCAUAGGAUUAAUGUAUUUGCAUGUUACUAUGAUUUCACUUUUGAUGUGAACUUUUAGUUUUUAUUAACAAGGUUCAUGUCUUUGUGAUUUGAGGGGGAAUUUAUUAUUUAUGGUUGACCUCACCAGUUUUCUGUUAUUGCUUGUUAUAUCGAGUAAUAGUAGGUUAUCGGAGUUGUGUUAAAAGCAUGAAGCAUAGGGUCAUCAGGUGAAUCACUUCGGCUCGGGCUGGGGUAAAAGCAUGAAGCAGGGUCAUCGAGUGAUCACUUCGGCUCGAUGCACAUCCCCAGUGUAACAAUGAAUUUACUUGAAAUUUAGAUGAUAACUUGUUUCAUACAGAACUGUAGCAAUGUCUUGGGACAAUAAAAUGAGACCUAGUAUACUUCACAGGUUACUUGAAAUUUUUCCCAUCUCACUAGUCCUUAUGUAGCUUCUCCGAUCCCACUGGUUCUUAUGUAGCUCUGUCCUCAAUAUUCUCACAGUAUAAUAUGGAUACGACGGCAAUAAUCAUCUCAAAGAUGAGCGCCCGUGUUCCACUCUUCAACCCGAAAAAUGGGAUUUCGAGUGAUGAGGAGUGCUAAAUGGACCGUUUCUCAACAGAUACAAAUAUGUUUAUACAUGUAUGCACAACAUCCUUUGUCCCUUUGUGACCAAAGCACAAGUUGCAUUAUUAACAUUAUGGUGAAAUGAAAGGGGUGGCAUUAUGAUGCGCAAGUGCACCACACAUAGGACAUCUUCUGCCAUGAUAAUUGAAUGAUAAAGCCAUCCAUUAGCCAGGCUAACCCUUCCUGUGCCAGUCGUAUAUAUCUACUCCAUCUCCUUUAUGCAUCCAAAUCCAUCUUUCGGUUGACCAACUUUUACUAGAAAAAUCUUCUUCUUUUCUUCUGUCAAGUCAUUAACUUUUCGAGUACAGCCCACUUCUGUGAGAACAUUUCCACAUAAUUAGGGGUGCUGACCAUCCAAAACCCGAAAAGACACCACCAGGCUCGAAACUACACAAAACAGAUUCGAUUCGAUUAAUUGAUCUGGAAUUUUUUCUUCUUCUUCUUUUUUUUUUUUUUGAGAGCAGGAAUUUUUUCUUCUAAUUGAGAUAUAGAUGAUGCUUCUAAGAGGUUGUUUGGUUGGUUCGUAGAGUAUUAUGAAGUUGGAAAGAGGAAUCGAGUUAAGGUGUAUUAAUAUUAUAUACUUUUGUACUGUUGAUUAUUCUUGUAAAAAAUAAUAAUAGAAAUAUUUUUAUUAUAUAUUUUUACAUCAUUGAUUAUUCUUAUAUAAAAUAUUAAUAUUUAAUUAUUUUAAUAGAGACAAAAAAUUAAAAAUGAAAUUGAUUCUCGAACUCGUUAUCAAAAACUUAUAUAUCGGGGAUUUGAAAUAUGAGUUUGAAAUUUUGAUUUUUGCAAUCAAAUGACAGAUUCCACGUAAUUAUGAGUGACAGGCAGCGGUUUUCUAUCUUCCAAAACCCGAAAAACACGACACGGGCGACAGUAGCACGUAACCCGAAACCCGAAAAACACGAUGCGGCUCGAAACAAUCAAUUUGAUUAAUUGAUCCAAAAAAUUUACUUCUAGUUCGGAUAUAAAUGAUGCCUCUGCAAAUAAUAUUUAGGAAAUAUUAAGAUCGUUAAAUAUUUGUGGAACGGUGACUUGAGACUUGUAUAAACAACAACCGGUCGGUCAGUGAUUUGUCAUUUCCACCACCUGUAGUGUUUUUGAGAUGGGAUAGUGAUAGCUUAGAAGCUCUAUGCCUUGCUUUCUUUUCCUUUAAAUUGUUAUCAUCUGCCCUUUUCUCAGUUACGGGCUAAUCUUUGUUUAGCCGACAAUUAUAUAAAGAAAAGUUGGUGUUAAUUAUGUCAUUAAUUAACUGUAAAAUGGGUGGUUGAGGUGAUUAUACUAGUUGGUUGGUCAUUAGAUGGACGAUCAUGUUAUAUCAAUUUGAAUAUGAUUGCUACAUGAAUAAAAUAUCUUUUGGUGGUUUUUUAAGCCAAUGAAAUUGACCCUAAUACACUGUACUAAUCGUGCUUAAUUACGUAGAAGUAGCAAACAUGAUUUGUGUGAUAUACUUAUCUAUGACAGGGAUGUUGAUCUGCUUUUAACGUAUGGCAACAAAUUUUUAUCCUUCCUACUCCCGGACUUAUUUUCGAUAAAUUUAAAUAUUCGAAAUCCUGAAAAAUAGAGGAAUAUUUGAUAUUUUUAAUUAAAUAUGAUUAAUCGGAUGAUUCAGAACGGAUCGUGCCAGAUUAGCUACAAUCCGAUCCGUAGAAACAUGAUUUGUCCGGUCGGUGAAAGCAUGAUCUGUGACCGUUCGUGUGAGCAGGCAGUCCGAUUCUGUUCUGUUUAGCUAAUCCGAUCCUAGUUUGUGGGUGAUUUGAUUCGACUCCGAUUUGAUUCUGUGAGCAGGCGGUCCGAUUCGAUUCUGUUUAGCUAAUCCGAUCCUAGUUUGUGGGUGAUUUGAUUCGACUCUGAUUUGAUUCUAUGAGCAGGCGAUCCGAUUCGAUUCUGUUUAGCUAAUCCGAUCCUAAUUUGUGGGUGAUUUGAUUCGACUCUGAUUUUUAUAUAACAAAUUUGUAUAUGGUUUCAAUAUUAAACGGUCCGAUUCGUUCAAGUAUGGUACAAAUUGGUUUUUACGAGUUUUUUUACAGAUUCGUUCUAAUUCGAUAAUGUCAGAACCGCUCGCUUGACCGGUUCUAUCCGUAAUAUUUGCGGAACGGUUUAUGAUGAUGAUCUUCCAGAGAGGUGGUUGAAUGAGGUAAGGGCCAUAACUGACUCCACCAGCUUAUUGGGAGGAACAGCCCAACAGCAGCAGCUUAGUUGGAAUAUCGAGAAUCACAGGUUCAACUUGUGAAGAUGGUGUAAAGGCGUGCGUGGCGUCAUCGUAUCCAUACACCUGGCACCUUGUUAUUGGGUAGCAACUCGAAAAUAUCAGGGCCUGAUUGAAUGAUAUGGUAGCUGCUACAUCACUUUUUUCUUUCUUCAUUUCAAAUUUCAAUUCCCGAGAUGCUGCGGAAAACCUUGCUCAUUUUUCUUGCUUUUUUCAAUCUUUACCCCCUACCCUCUUCCACAUUGCUGUGCGGGAUUGAGUCCGGUUGCUAUUACUUGAAUAAAUAAUACUCCCUCCAUUCCGAUUUAGAUUUAGAUGAGCUUUUUGCUCAUUUCACACAUAUUAAGAGAUAUUAAACGAUUGUUUUUUUUUCAUCUUUACCCAUAUUUAUUUUAGCUAGUGGUACAUUGGAAUGAUAAAUAAGAGAGGGUAAGGAUGGAAAAUGGUUGAUAAAUAUGCAUUGAAAGGAGAGAAGCUCAACUAUUUUGGGAUAAAUUUUUUUCCAAAGGCUCGUCUAAUUUGGGAUGGAGGGAGUAUUAUUAUUAUUUCCAAAAUAUUUUAUUAUAAUAAAUUUAAAAUAUAAAUUUAGAUAAUCAUAAGUUUCAGAAAACAACAUAUUUUUAGUUGGUCGUUUACUUAGAAAUUAAAGUAUUUUCCGAUUAAUUUCCAAGAUCAAAAUUUUUCUGAAUUAUAACUUUUCGCCAAAACUUAGUUAAUAAUAUAUAAUUUGUUUCAUUCGUGCUAAAAAAUAGUUAGAUCGUGUAUACAUAAACGCCUAAUUAAAAUCAAUAAUAAAAUUUAUGUAUGUCCCACAUUUGUAGUGUUUGUUUGAUCUAUUUUACAUAAAAGAACUUUACACAGUAUGUUUUGUAAAAAACUAAAAAUAAACACCACACAUAAUUUGUUGCUUGCCCAAAAUAAUACAAUCUAAUUGCGUAUACGUUUAUGUUACUAAUUAUACUAGUAAAAUGUAAUUAUUCUUAAGUUGAGGUUUAUCAUCUGAACGACUUAUACUUUCUUACCACUACAAAAGCGCCAAGUGUUAAUUCUUUAUCAGGCAAUUAUGUAAGUGAUUAAGGNCAGGAUAAACUGAAGNACAUUUGUAGUGUUUGUUUGAUCUAUUUUACAUAAAAGAACUUUACACAGUAUGUUUUGUAAAAAACUAAAAAUAAACACCACACAUAAUUUGUUGCUUGCCCAAAAUAAUACAAUCUAAUUGCGUAUACGUUUAUGUUACUAAUUAUACUAGUAAAAUGUAAUUAUUCUUAAGUUGAGGUUUAUCAUCUGAACGACUUAUACUUUCUUACCACUACAAAAGCGCCAAGUGUUAAUUCUUUAUCAGGCAAUUAUGUAAGUGAUUAAGGUUUAUCCUCUGUUGGCCCAGGUCCUGGGUUCGACUCUGGCUCACCUCGAGAAUAUCUUAGAAUAGAUACUCAAAUUGUAAGGCUAUAAGCCACAUUAGUCAAAAAAAAAAAAACAAAGUCAAAAACGAAAAUGUGGAGAAUAUACAUAGCACAAAACAUCAAAGAACCGUGCACUCAGAAACGGACCAUACAGAGUACAGACGUUAAUCAAAAAUUAACGCAACCCCCGCGCCUAAUAUUCUAAUUAGCACAGGAAAAGUAUAGUCCGUAAUUGCCUGUCUGUCAAUCUCUUACUAAUAUAAAUAGCCGUCAAACACACAGACUCUUCACUAUUACCCAUCUCCCAGCUUUCUUCUUGUUCUUGUUCUCUCUUAACAACUCAUUCUUAGACACCAAAAUUCUCCAGCUAGAUCCAUGAAGAAAUCCGGGUUCUUCGUGGCUGCUUCCGCCGCCGUCGUGUCCUCAUACUCUUCUUCCUCCGAUUCCAAGAUUCACUUCUCCCGUCAGGUAAAAAGUCUUAAACAAGAACUCGAGAAAUCAUGAGAACUAAAUAUUCAUAACAAAUAUUCAGUUCUCGUGAUUUUGAAUCGCGUCUGAAUGUUAUGACACAUCAUGACAUUCAGAGUUUUAUAAGAACUAAAAACUCGAAAAUCAUGAAAAUUAAAUAUUCACGACAAAUAUUUAGUUCUCAUGAUUUUGAAUCG
rnacentral:lncRNA from 1 species